rnacentral:lncRNA from 1 species
GUUUCCCUUGUAACCUGCUUGGACUGUGAGCGAUUCCUAUAUGAAGAGCUUUGCAAGUUAGCUUCUAGAAGAACACUUUUAGUGUUCAACUGGUGCCACUCUCAGGUGCACACGGAGACCUAAACAGAAAUAUUCAUUGCAACCCUUCUUGUCAUAAGAAAAAAGUGAAAACAACUAACUGUCCUUUAGGAGGACUGUAAGCAAAUAGAAUGUGAUUGUUCUUGGGAUAGAAUUCAACCUAGCAGUUAAAAAAAUGAACUAGAAGAUACCAAGAAAGACAGAAAACCCAUUCUAGUGAGGAGAAACUGGAGCCCUGUGCACCACUGGCAGCAAUGUGAAACGGUGCAGCCACUGUGGACAAGAGCACGGUGGUUCCCCGGACAACUGAAAAUGGAAAUCCCACCUGCGGCAGAAAUCAUUCCAGUUCUGGGCAUAUACGGCAAAGAAUGGAAAGUGAGACCUCAAAGAGAGAUCCGUGUACCUGUCGCAUCAGUAUUCAUAACAGCAAAAGGGUGGAAGCAACCCAGUGUCCACUGGCAGAUAAGUGGAUAAACAAGGUGUGGUAUAUGCAUACAGUGAGCCUUAAAAAGAGGCAAUUCUGACACACGCUACAGCAGGAGAAACCUGGAGAAGAGUGGAGGUGUCCGGGGUUUCAGGGGAGAGGAAUGUGCAAUUAUCGUUUAGUGAGUGCAGGGUUUCCCUUCAGGAAGAUGAACUGUUCUGGAAGGGGCUGGGGUGUAGUUCAGAGGCAGAGUGCUUGCCCUGGGUUAAAUCCCCAGCAACACACACACACAAAUUCUGGAGCUAGAUGGAGGUGAGAAUUUCAUGGCAUUGUUUCAAUGCCACUGAACUAUACACUUAAACAUGGUCAAUUUUAUGUUAUGCAUAUUUCACCACAAUUAAAUAAACAUAAUAUUGAGUGCAAAGAAGCAAUUUCCAGAAAGAAUCAUGCAAUAUGCCAUUAAUAUAAAAUGUCUAAAUAUUCAAAACAAAUUUUACUAAUGGUUGGACACCCAGGUCAUAUCAGAUGAACCAUGUGGACUUGUCAUCUUGGAGGAUCAGAAACAUUCAAGUAUUGGCAAUGGCGU